rnacentral:rRNA from 1 species
GGACGAACGCUGGCGGCGUGCUUAACACAUGCAAGUCGAGCGGUAAGGCCCUUUCGGGGGUACGACGAGCGGCGAACGGGUGAGUAACACGUGGGUGACCUGCCCUCAGCUCUGGGAUAAGCCUGGGAAACCGGGUCUAAUACUGGAUAUGACUCCAUGACGCAUGUUGUGGGGUGGAAAGCCUUGUGCGGCUGAGGAUGGGCCCGCGGCCUAUCAGCUUGUUGGUGGGGUGANGGCCUACCAAGGCGACGACGGGUAGCCGGCCUGNGAGGGCGACCGGCCACACUGGGACUGAGACACGGCCCAGACUCCUACGGGAGGCAGCAGUGGGGAAUCUUGCGCAAUGGGCGAAAGCCUGACGCAGCGACGCCGCGUGAGGGAUGACGGCCU